GACGAACGCUGGCGGCGUGCCUAAUACAUGCAAGUAGGACGCAGUUGCGAACGGGUGAGUAACGCGUAGGUAACUACCUAUUAGAGGGGGAUAACUAUUGGAAACGAUAGCUAAUACCGCAUACUAGUAGAUGGACCUGCGUUGUAUUAGCUAGUAGGUAGGGUAAUGGCCUACCUAGGCAACGAUACAUAGCCGACCUGGGAGGGUGAUCGGCCAAACUGGGACUGGGACACGGCCCAGACUCCGAAGGGGAGCAGCAGGAGGGAAUGUGCGGCAAUGGGGGGAAACCUGAACGAGCAACGGCGCGGGAGUGAAGAAGGUUUUCGGAUGGUAAAGCUCUGUUGUGAAGGAAGCGGUACUUAACCAGAAAGGGACGGCUAACUACGUGCCAGCAGCCGCGGUAAUUC
rnacentral:rRNA from 1 species